UACGUAGGGUGCAAGCGUUAAUCGGAAUUACUGGGCGUAAAGCGUACGCAGGCGGCUAUGUAAGACAGGUGUGAAAUCCCCGGGCCUAACCUGGGAACUGCAUUUGUGACUGCAUAGCUAGAGUCCGUCAGAGGGGGGUGGAAUUCCACGUGUAGCAGUGAAAUGCGUAGAGAUGUGGAGGAACACCGAUGGCGAAGGCAGCCCCCUGGGUCAAGACUGACGCUCAUGCACGAAAGCGUGGGGAGCAAACAGG
rnacentral:rRNA from 1 species